GAGAGGGAGGGAGAGAGAGUGAAAGAAGAAAAUACAGAGAGUGAGUGUGUGGAAGAGAGAGAGAGAGAGAGAAACAGGAGAGAGAGAGAGAGAAACAGGAGAGAGAGGAGAGAGAGAGAGACAGGAGAGAGAGAGGGAGGGAGCGAGAGGGAGAGCAAAAGAAGGAAAGGAUCCAAGAAAAAAAAGCCCCAACCACACACCAGCGGCUGCAGGACUGGGCACAGCAUGAGAUCCAAAGGCAGGGCAAGGAAACUGGCCACAAAUAAUGAGUGUGUAUAUGGCACCUACCCUGAAAUACCUUUGGAAGAAAUGCCAGAUGCAGAUGGAGUAGCCAGCACUCCCUCCCUCAAUAUUCAAGAGCCAUGUUCUCCUGCCACAUCCAGUGAAGCAUUCACUCCAAAGGAGGGUUCUCCUUACAAAGCCCCCAUCUACAUCCCUGAUGAUAUCCCCAUUCCUGCUGAGUUUGAACUUCGAGAGUCAAAUAUGCCUGGAGCAGGACUAGGAAUAUGGACCAAAAGGAAGAUCGAAGUAGGUGAAAAGUUUGGGCCUUAUGUGGGAGAGCAGAGGUCAAACCUGAAAGACCCCAGUUAUGGAUGGGAGGUACAUCUUCCAAGGUCUCGGAGGGUAAGCGUUCACUCUUGGUUAUAUUUGGGGAAGAGAAGCUCAGACGUAGGAAUAGCCUUCGCUCAGGCUGAUGUCUACAGGCCUGGAAUGCAGUGUGCCCUCCUCUCGUUGUGAGGCUCGGGAGGACGCGGAACGGCGGGCGAGGCGGAACGCAGAGCUGUGUUGCCGGCGCCUGGCGGGCAGAGGCGGGUUCACCUGGGUGGCUGGAGCCGCCGGCGUUGCGCUUUAUUUCGGAGCGCAAUGCCAUCUACCGGC
rnacentral:sRNA from 1 species